rnacentral:rRNA from 1 species
UACAGAGGGUGCAAGCGUUAAUCGGAAUUACUGGGCGUAAGCGUGCGUAGACGGUUGCGUAAGUCAGAUGUGAAAGCCCCGGGCUCAACCUGGGAAUGGCAUUUGGGGACUGCAAGGCUGGAGUUUGGCAGAGGAGACUGGAAUUCCUGGUGUAGCAGUGAAAUGCGUAGAUAUCAGGAGGAAUACCGAUGGCGAAGGCAGGUCUCUGGGCUAUAACUGACGCUCAUGCACGAAAGCGUGGGGAGCAAACAGG